rnacentral:tRNA from 1 species
UGGGGAGUCGUCUAAUGGUAGGACACCACCCUUUGGAGGUGGGUAUGAUGGUUCGAAUCCAUCCUCCCCAGCCA